CCUUGUAUUUUGUGUAAGAAAGACUGUGUGGGACAGAAGGGACCUCACGGGACAUAUCAAUGCUCCACAGUGGCUCUCCUUCACUUUCUUGGUGACUCAGAAGGUCACCGUGGGGACCUGAACCAUAGCAUCAUCUCGGGAUGCUCUGAGUCUACAUGUGGGUAGCAGUUAUAAAGCACACCUCCUUUGAAUCUGGUCUCUUCUUCUGCCCCAGCUCCUCUCUCUGUGACCUUCUCCUGUAGCGUGAAGUAGAGCAAUAUGUUGGCUCAGAGCUCAUGAAUGGACAGAAUGUUAGACAAAUCAUCCCCAGAACUUAGGCUUUGUGCCAUCUGGUCUUGUCUCUCCUGGUAGCGAAGUAAAUCUUAAAGAAACAGACCCCUGGGACACCAACCGGGAUCAACCCAAGGAGAGUCCUGGGAGAUAAUCUACAAGCUUUUCUCCAGGCCCCCAAUCUCUCCAGCUUUGCCUGUGUGCUAUGGUACCAUUUAUACAGUGAUGCUAACAGAGAAUAUCCCAUUGUGCUUGAUGCCUUAGCCUCCCAGACUGCUAUGUAAUCAACCCUUUACCUUGAGGCAUUAAAAACCCCUGUUAUGACACACAGAGUAUCUGGAGAUGUAAAUGGUUAAUCUUUUGUUUACUUGUUCAAUAUUUACUGAGCUCCCCGAAUGCAGGAAAGAGCUGGUGGGAGCCUGCUUUCAAAAGCUGAAGCCAGUAUCUGAUGUCAGCAGCACACACACAUCCCCUGCUAAAGAAGGCUUGAGCUGGCGUGUGUCAUUAAGCAUCCUUUGUCUUCCACCUUCCACUCUAUCUGGGGCACCUUGUCUGUUGGACAGUGUCAGCCAUAUGCACUGUGAGUCUUUCUCCUCCGUUGGCCUGUCUACAUUCCAAUGUUUCCUGGAAGCACCCUACACAUAUACUCUGAGGGCUUUUGCAGCUGUUUCCACUGAUUGUCCUGCUUCUGGGCUGCUACUGUUACCACCCCUGUCCUCAGGACAUCUACACCACUGGACAAGGAUGCCACUCACAGAUGGCCGGGACUCAAGCAUUUUGAUACAGCACCAGGAAACAGCUGAAGACCCCAUUCGUUGUCUACCUGCACACAGCUCAGCUAUUCCAGUUCUUUAAGCCUUUCAUUCCUUAUUUUAUACACAAAGGCAGAAGAAGCAUGAUUUGGGGGAGGAA